UGGGGAAUUGUUCGCAAUGGGCGAAAGCCUGACGACGCAACGCCGCGUGGGGGAUGAAGGUCUUCGGAUUGUAAACCCCUGUCGUGUGGGAAGAACGACCUCGUGGUGAACAGCCAUGGGGUUUGACGGUACCACGUGAGGAAGCCCCGGCUAACUCUGUGCCAGCAGCCGCGGUAAUACAGAGGGGGCAAGCGUUGUUCGGAAUUACUGGGCGUAAAGGGCGCGUAGGCGGCCUACUAAGUCAUACGUG
rnacentral:rRNA from 1 species